rnacentral:pre_miRNA from 1 species
GGGGAGAGACACAGAAGGAGAGAGGCAGAGGGGCAGAGAGAGAGAGUGACAUAGAGACUCUCUCCUUCUGUGUCUCUCCCCUCUAUAUCACUCUCUCUGCCCCUCUGCCUCUCUCCUUCUGUGUCUCUCCUCUCU